rnacentral:rRNA from 1 species
AUGCACGCUGCCAGAAUGCUUCACACCUGCAAGUCUUUGGCGAAGCUGUGCUUGCACAGCCUAGCCAAGGCGGACGGGUGAGUAACGCGUAAGGAACUUGCCCUGCAGUCAGGGAUAACAGACGGAAACGACUGAUAAGACCUGGUAAAGUCAGGCGGACUCAUGUCCAGCCUGAUGAAAAGAGAUGCUGCAGGAGAGCCUUGCGUCCUAUUAGCUUGUUGGUGGGGUAACGGCCCACCAAGGCGAUGAUAGGUAGCCGGCCUGAGAGGGUGGACGGCCACAAGGGGACUGAGAUACGGCCCUUACUCCUACGGGAGGCAGCAGUGGGGAAUAUUGGACAAUGGGGGCAACCCUGAUCCAGCAAUUCUGUGUGCACGAUGAAGGUUUUCGGAGUGUAAAGUGCUUUCAGCAGGGAAGAAAAAAAUGACGGUACCUGCAGAAGAAGCGACGGCUAAAUACGUG